UCCGGGCCGCGAGGCUCCGGCUCCCUGCGGAGUUCCCCGCACUCUUGUGUGGGUCCGCACCCCUUCCCGGAAGAGGAGGCCGGCGGUGGGGUCCGGUUUCUCCACUUCUCUGGAGCUCUUAGCGUUUUUCUGUCAAUCUGUCAAUCGGAUAAGGCAAACAAUUGGGUUUUAUGCUGUUUUAAUUUCUGUUGAGGUUGAAUGUCUUCAUGUUUAUCGGUCAUGUGUAUUUUUUGUGUUUCGUACACACUUCACCAUCUCUUUUGCUGCCCUUUUGUGGGUAAAAUUGUACUAUUUCCAAAAUAUCUCACCUGGCUUUAGUACAUUCUCAGGAGUGGAGAGAAGUAUGGCUUUAAUACACCUGCAUAUCAAUAGGCGUUCAUCACAGGUGGAGAAGUUCAUCUCCGUAUCAAUUACCAGGGCAACAGAGAGCUCCUGAACCUGAGAGGUUAAGGGGAGGGCCGUUGGCUUCAGCUGGAGCAGGAGAAACAGACCCGGACUGCAGUUUGUAUGCAACCAGUGUCUUUCUCAUGAUAAGGACCUAAUAAAUACCUUUUGAAUGAAGUGAAUGAAUGAAUGGAGCACAAAUUGAUAUGGUGCCAAUGAGCUGUGCCGGAGUUGACCCAUCCUAAAUCAACCACCCCUCCUUCAGCCUGCUUCAGGGAAAUCCACGUGUUCAAUACACUUGCUCGCAGUUUGGCCCAUACCAAAUGGUUGUUUAAUCCAAAUAUCUGAGCAGCAAACUGAGCUGAUCCUUCUGGAGAAAGUAUGGUCGAACAGCUAAGACCACUGGGUAGUCGAAGAGAAGAUCAUACAUCCUGAGCUCCCCAGUCUGGAGUGAGGGGAGGACAGCUGAUAACUGGAUAUGCAGUGUUACCAGACAUCACAGGUCCUAAACCAUUGCUUCUGCCUGCCACAGCCACAAAUACAGUAGGAAUGCCAUUCCCUUCAUAUUCUGCUUUAAUUCUCAGAGUUUCAUCUGAUCCUUUAUGGGCAGAUGUUACCUGAAGUUCACAUGGAAUGCCAAAAUUUCCACAAGCCUUCUUGAUUUUUUCAGUGACUGACAUCAGAAGUUGAGCCCAUCAAUACUACAACCCUGCACUGACUUUCUGUUUUCAGAAGCAACUUUACUCUUUCUGCAACCCACUCAAAAUUUCUCUUCACCAUCUGGA